rnacentral:rRNA from 1 species
GGUGAACGCUGGCGGUAGGCCUAACACAUGCAGGUCGAACGGCAGCACAGUAAGAGCUUGCUCUUACGGGUGGCGAGUGGCGGACGGGUGAGGAAUACAUCGGAAUCUACUUUUUCGUGGGGGAUAACGUAGGGAAACUUACGCUAAUACCGCAUACGACCUACGGGUGAAAGCAGGGGAUCUUCGGACCUUGCGCGAUUGAAUGAGCCGAUGUCGGAUUAGCUAGUUGGCGGGGUAAAGGCCCACCAAGGCGACGAUCCGUAGCUGGUCUGAGAGGAUGAUCAGCCACACUGGAACUGAGACACGGUCCAGACUCCUACGGGAGGCAGCAGUGGGGAAUAUUGGACAAUGGGCGCAAGCCUGAUCCAGCCAUACCGCGUGGGUGAAGAAGGCCUUCGGGUUGUAAAGCCCUUUUGUUGGGAAAGAAAAGCAGCAGGUUAAUACCCCGCUGUUCUGACGGUACCCAAAGAAUAAGCACCGGCUAACUUCGUG